GAUGAACGCUGGCGGUAUGCCUAACACAUGCAAGUCGUACGAGGGUUUUUAACUCUAGUGGCGGACGGGUGAGUAACACGUGAGAAUUUGCCUUUAGGAGGGGGAUAACAAUUGGAAACGAAUGCUAAUACCCCAUAUGCUUUCGAGUGAAACGGAUUUAUCCGCCUAGAGAGAAGCUCGCGGCUGAUUAGCUUGUUGGUAAGGUAAGAGCUUACCAAGGCGACGAUCAGUAUCUGGUUUGAGAGGACGAUCAGACACACUGGAACUGAGACACGGUCCAGACUCCUACGGGAGGCAGCAGUGGGGAAUUUUCCGCAAUGGGCGAAAGCCUGACGGAGCAAUACCGCGUGAGGGAAGACUGCCUAUGGGUUGUAAACCUCUUUUUUCAGGGAGGAAUAAAUGACGUGUACCUGAAGAAUAAGCAUCGGCUAACUCCGUG
rnacentral:rRNA from 1 species